GGAGAAAUUUCAGAGAAAAGAAAGAAGUUAAAGACCGAAAACAGAGAAAGGAGAAUUGAUGGGAGAAGUGGGAAUCGUUGUGCUCAGGACUGUUGGCGGAAGAGCUGGUUGGAAAGAAAUAAGCAAACUUCUGCCUUAUGUUACAGAAGGGAAAGAAGUAUGAGAUGAUGAGCAAAUUUGGAGGUGCAGUUGUGGGGAUGAAAUUGGGCGCAUCACCUCAGAGGUCUUUUCCAUC